rnacentral:rRNA from 1 species
CCUACGGGUGGCAGCAGUGGGGAAUAUUGCACAAUGGGCGCAAGCCUGAUGCAGCCAUGCCGCGUGUGUGAAGAAGGCCUUCGGGUUGUAAAGCACUUUCAGCGGGGAGGAAGGCGUUAAGGUUAAUAACCUUGUCGAUUGACGUUACCCGCAGAAGAAGCACCGGCUAACUCCGUGCCAGCAGCCGCGGUAAUACGGAGGGUGCAAGCGUUAAUCGGAAUUACUGGGCGUAAAGCGCACGCAGGCGGUCUGUCAAGUCGGAUGUGAAAUCCCCGGGCUCAACCUGGGAACUGCAUUCGAAACUGGCAGGCUAGAGUCUUGUAGAGGGGGGUAGAAUUCCAGGUGUAGCGGUGAAAUGCAUAGAGAUCUGGAGGAAUACCGGUGGCGAAGGCGGCCCCCUGGACAAAGACUGACGCUCAGGUGCGAAAGCGUGGGGAGCAAACAGGAUUAGAUACCCGGGUAGUC